AUGAGGAACAGUAUGAUGCUCUGUCAGAGGAGGAGAAGAGGAGCAUCACUCAGCGACACCUGGACGCACUCAAACAGCAGAAACUCAGGGAGCAGAUGGAGAAAGAGCUGGAAGAAAAGAGGCAACAAGAGGAGAUAGAGAGGCUCAGAGAAGAAGACUUGAAGAAGAAGAAAAAGGCAGGAAAGAAGGACCAUAAAGAAGUAGUGAAGAAGAAGAGGUUGCUGGAGAGAAACCACUCAUCAGGAACCCCGAAUGGACAGAAGAUGUCUCUCGGUAACAACUCGAAAGAGUCGCUAGUGGAUGCAAAAGAGCAUUCUAAUUCAAAUGAAGUGCAUCCUGGGAAACAGGCUGAUGAUUCACAAAAGCAGACAGAAGAAACCAAAACAUCGAAUGCAGAAUCUCCUCAACCUACAGGCAAAGUGGAAAAAGAAAAGAGUACAGAUGCUGCAGAGAUAAAGAGGCAAACGGAAGACAAGGAGCUGAAGAAAAGCAAAGAAGUGAUGGAGAAAGAUACUAAAGAAGUCCCAGAGAAGAGAAGCCUGUCUGGUCAAAAGGAG
ensembl:lncRNA